rnacentral:misc_RNA from 1 species
GAUGAAGAACGUAGCGAAACGCGAUAGUUAAUGUGAAUUGCAGAAUUCAGUGAAUCAUCGAGUCUUUGAACGCACAUUGCGCCCCUCGGCAUUCCGGAGGGCAUGUCUGUUUGAGCGUCAUUUCAACACCCUCGCUUUAAGCGGUAUUGAGGCGUGGAAUCCAUAUCAAUGGAACCAAGCUUUUAAAGUUGAAGGCAAGCAGAACGAAUGUCUUGAACAAAACAUAGUAAAAUCUUCACGGUUUCUCCUGUUUGUCCUCGAUGUUACGUCUCGCCCAAACAAUUUUUUUUUAGUUUUGACCUCAGAUCAGACAAGGAUACCCGCUGAACUUAAGCAUAUCAAUAAGCGGAGGA